UACGUAGGUGACGAGCGUUGUCCGGAUUUACUGGGCGUAAAGAGCGCGCAGGCGGUCGUUCAAGUCGAGUGUGAAAUCCCACGGCUCAACCGUGGAAGUGCACUCGAAACUGCGCAGCUAGAGUCCUGGAGAGGAAGGUGGAAUGCUUGGUGUAGAGGUGAAAUUCGCAGAUAUCAGGAGGAACACCGAUGGCGAAGGCAGGUCUCUGGGCAUUAACUGACGCUGAGGAGCGAAAGCAUGGGGAGCGAACAGG
rnacentral:rRNA from 1 species